GAGAGAAGAGGCCUAGGCCGGUUCAGCCAGACGUGGAGAGGAGUUGGGAGGGUAUUGAGGAAGACGUCUUUCUUCCUCGCUCGAUACCCAAAUUAAUUUCAAACAAACCAUUGGCGGAAAGCGAAUCACAGGGACUUAAAGGGUCGCAGACGGAUCAUUGGAAACUGGGCGGGGGUUUGCUGUUGGAAGGGGAAGUCCAUUGUCCGCUAAGAGAUGGAGCUGCCUUGGUCUCUCUUUUAACGUAUAUUUAUCGCGUUCAAGAUUUCUCUACGCCGCCUCUGGAUUUUUUUUUUCCCCUUUGAUCAGUUCACUGGCUGAGGUAGUAGUUUGUGUUGUUGGAAGGGUCUGUGACACUGCCCAGUAUGGAGAUAACUGCGCAAGCUACUGCCUUGCUAGUGCUGGUGAUAACUCGGCGGAAACAAGCUCCAAUGUGAGUUUAUUUUUAAAAAAAAAAGGAAGUGUUUCGAAUGAAAAUCGGGAUUGCAACGAUAUUGCAAGUAUUUUUUGGUUGAACUGAACCUGAUCUAGUUGCUUUUAGCAUAAAAAUAUAAAGCUUAUGCAUGCUUUAGCAAAUGUGAAAUUAGUGUUUUGCGGUUCAGUUUGAGCAGAAGUCUUGCACCAUAACGUGCAGAAAUCCACUGACCUGUGUUUAAACUAGUGCAUGAAAGUUUCUUUUGAGUUUACUUUUUCUAACCUGCUAAAUUUAAGCAGUGCCUUUUACCUUUGCAAUAAAUGAAGAACACUGCAAAAAACUUGAUACAAUGGCUUUUUGGAAGAAAGGAUCAAGUUCAAUCGUCAGAAAUUUUCAUAGGCUGUUUCCUCUGCCCACUACUCAAUUAAAUAUUUAAAUCAGUGAUUUGUUUCUACUUAGUCCCAAUAUAGUGACAAAAUCAACUGCAAUUGAGAGCAAGGAAGGUUUGACAUUUGAUGUCAUUCAUCACAUACUGUCUUUAUUCAUUAGUCUGAAUAGUGUUCUGUGUAUCAAAAUCAGAUUGUCUGGCUGGUGCAGAUGAGUUGGACCAAAGGGUCUGUUUCUGUGCUUUAUGACUGUACGACACUCAUUUUGCUGUUUUUUGUUUCACAAAAAAAAUCUUGUAUCUAUCAACCAUUACCAUUUUCUCUUUCUAAUUAAAGUGGUUUAAAUACU